UUUAUCAUUUUAAUAUUUAAAAAAUAUUAAAUGAUUUUUUUAAUUUUUAAUAAUUUUUUAAUAAAAAAUGGGUACUGAAUCAAACCACGUCAGCAGUUAAUUGAGAAAUUCACGCCAAGCUAACGGAAGGUAAAACAUUGUCACAAUUUUGUAAGAUAAGGUAUGACAUUGUCAAUUUUAAAAGAUGAAGUAUGAAAAUGUCGUGACUCCAAUAAUUGCGAUAAUUUUUUACACUUUACCCUCACAAUUUUUUAUGUCAAUCGAUCCCGUCUUCUUCACUUUACCUUUUGGUUUUGUCCCUCACAAAUCUCUGCUUCUGUCCGUCUUCAUUCCGCUCUCUUCCUCUCAAAUCAUGUGUUCUUUUUUUCUUUUUUUUUUCCUAAAACAAUAGUCACGAGCAAAUCAGGUUUUGGUUUAUUUAGAGAUUCUGUUUCCAGUCUCCAUUUGGUGCCUUGCUCAGAUCGGCUCUGCACUCAUCAUCGACGCCUCCACCUUCACGAAGGACUCCGCAAAUCCCAAGACCAAUAAAGAUUCUCUAGCAAAUCACAGCAAAUGCAACCAUGAAUCUCUUGUUCGAUAUGAAAGAGAUGUACGAUGUUCACAUGUGAAAAGCAUUCCUUCAAAUCAUUCCAAAUCUCAUGAGCAAUGUCGUUGUAGGUCAAACUCGCCCUAAUAUCUUGGGAAGUCGAGUUAAGAAGCCAUGAUUUGACAAGAUUGUUACAGCGAGUCCACCGUUGAAGUUCUGCGGCGGAAGUGCCCUUCGGCCUUUUGAUGGUCCCGUCAAUGAAACCUUUAUUUUUAGCACUAAGAGCCAUGGACAUGGCACGACUCUAGGUAGAAUAGUUUUCUUCAUUUAGUUGUUGAGUAACCAGGAUAGCUCCAAGCUGAUCGGAGUGGUGAAGGUAGAGGGGAUCAUUGGGAUCGUCAUACUUGUUCAUCUCAGGCUUGGCCGAGGAUUUGGUUACGACGGAAUCUUCGAGCGCCAUGGAUGUCGCCGAGAAGAGAUGCAGUUGGUAGGGUUUAUUGUUGUGUUGGAACGGCAAAAAGGUUUUGGUUAUCAGAGGUCCAGUUGCUCUAGUACCAUGUAAAGAAUUCAAUAAUUGUGCAUGAAUUCAUUGAUCUCUAAUAAUUCAAUACA